GGCCUCGUAGCUCAGCUGAUGGAGCACUCGCUGUAUUAAAGCGAGGGUGGUGGCCAUGCGUGGGUUUGAAUCCCGCCGGGGCCA
rnacentral:tRNA from 1 species